rnacentral:rRNA from 1 species
GACGAACGCUGGCGGCGUGCUUAACACAUGCAAGUCGAACGGAAAGGCCCUGCUUUUGUGGGGUGCUCGAGUGGCGAACGGGUGAGUAACACGUGAGUAACCUGCCCUUGACUUUGGGAUAACUUCAGGAAACUGGGGCUAAUACCGGAUAGGAGCUCCUGCUGCAUGGUGGGGGUUGGAAAGUUUCGGCGGUUGGGGAUGGACUCGCGGCUUAUCAGCUUGUUGGUGGGGUAGUGGCUUACCAAGGCUUUGACGGGUAGCCGGCCUGAGAGGGUGACCGGCAACAUUGGGACUGAGAUACGGCCCAGACUCCUACGGGAGGCAGCAGUGGGGAAUAUUGCACAAUGGGCGGAAGCCUGAUGCAGCAACGCCGCGUGCGGGAUGACGGCCUUCGGGUUGUAAACCGCUUUCGCCUGUGACGAAGCGUGGGUGACGGUAAUGGGUAAAGAAGCACCGGCUAACUACGUG